AGAGUUUGAUUAUGGCUCAGGAUGAACGCUAGCUACAGGCUUAACACAUGCAAGUCGAGGGGCAUCAUGAAGUUGCUUGCAAACUUUGAUGGCGACCGGCGCACGGGUGAGUAACGCGUAUCCAACCUUCCCUAUAGUAGAGAAUAGCCCGGCGAAAGUCGGAUUAAUGCUCUAUGUUGUAUUUUGCGGGCAUCUAACGAAUACCAAAGGUUUACCGCUAUAGGAUGGGGAUGCGUCCGAUUAGGUAGUCGGCGGGGUAACGGCCCACCGAGCCAUCGAUCAGUAGGGGUUCUGAGAGGAAGGUCCCCCACAUUGGAACUGAGACACGGUCCAAACUCCUACGGGAGGCAGCAGUGAGGAAUAUUGGUCAAUGGGCGAGAGCCUGAACCAGCCAAAGUAGCGUGCAGGAUGACGGCCCUAUGGGUUGUAAACUGCUUUUAUACAGGGAUAAAGUGGGGGACGUGUCCCCUUUUGUAGGUACUGUAUGAAUAAGGACCGGCUAAUUCCGUGCCAGCCGCGGC
rnacentral:rRNA from 1 species